ensembl:lncRNA
GACCCCCGCAGGGCGCAGGGUGGCGAGCGCCGCUCUCCCGGGCCGAAAGGGCCGAGGGGCGCUUCAUUUUCCCGUCUUCGAAGUGGGGACAGUCGCUGCCGCCCUGCUCCGGGUUGGAAGACAGCCGCUUCCAACCCCGCCUCUGCCCUCCAGCCCCUGCAGCGGCCUGCGGGUCACAGUGGCCGCCCCCCACCCGACCUGCCAGCCCUUUGCACAGCCGUACCCCUCCCCGAGGGAACAGAACUUCCCGCUAUCUCUUCCCUCUGCCUGGAAUGCAGUCCACCCAGCCGAGCCUGCUCCUGCAAGCGGCCUCACGGGGAGGGUUCGGCAACAUACCCAGGCCCAUUUUACAGAAUGCUGACACUGAGACCAGAGCGUUCAGAGGAACCCGCCUCAAGGUGCUCAGCUGGAGAUGGCCUGUAGGGAACUGUGGCCCUGGAGAGGCUGGGAGGGCUAAGCUUUCCUGUUGAGCACUGUGGAGGGAGCACAGACUUGCACCAGUGAGGAAACAGAUUGACUGGACAGUGCUGCUUCAUCUUUCGUCUGCUGAGAUCACUUAUACAGCUGCAACUGGCUGGGGCUCAGUGGGGGUGAAAGAGUCAAGGCUUCACCCACGUGACUGCAGUUGAUGUGAACUAUCAGCCUGGCAACUCAGCUGGCUGCCAGCACAGGCUGUCAUCUCAGAAUCAGGGAUUGCGAGGUUAAGCGAGAGCCUCCCUGCAGCCCUCGGAGCAGCCAAAGAAAGUGCUUGGAGACAGCUGAUCGGAGGCUCAUGAUCCGGAUGGCGACAGCGACAGCAAACAUGAGGCUUAUUGUUGGAGCCCCACCUGCCCUGCCAAAGCUGAGCACACAGCCUUGCAGAUAAGCCUGCCCCCUGCUCCUCCCUCUGUGAGGCAGAGACAGGAAUGGGUGAGGAGGUGAGGCUUGUUUAACGGGCUGAGGCCAGGAGUUCUCCAGUGGCCUCGUGGUUAGAGACCUGGCGUUGUCACUGCUGUAGCUCAGGUUCGAUCCCUGGUCUGGGAAUUUCCACAUGCCUCGGGUGCAGCCAAAAAUUAAAAAAUUAAAAUUGAAGGGGUGGAGUUUCUGUCAUGGCACAGUGGAAAUGAAUCCAACUAGGAACCAUGAGGUGAUGGGGUUGAUCCCUGGCCUUGCUCAGUGGGUUAAGGAUUUGGCGUUGCCCCAAGCUGUGGUUUCGGUCACAGACACGGCUCGGAUCUGAUAUUGCUGAGGCUGUGGCGUAGGCUGGCAGCUGCAGCUUUGAUUCAACCCCUAGCCUAGGAACCUCCAUAUUGCACAAGGCACGGACCUAAAAAGCAAAGAAAUUAAAUUAAAUUAAGGGGAAAAAAAACAAAAUAAAAUUAAGGGAGUUCCCGUUUUGGCUCAGUGGAAAUGAAUCCGACUGGUAUCCAUGAGGACGUGGGGUUUGAUCCCUGGCCUAGCUCAGUGGGUUGGGGAUCCUGUGUUGCUGUGAGCUGUGGUAUAGGUUGCAGACACGGCUUGGACCUGGCGUGGCUGUGGCUGUGGCUGUGGUGUAGGCCAGCAGCUAUAGCUCCAAUUCGAUCCCUAGCCUGGGAACUUCCAUAUGCUGUGAGUGCGGCCCCAAAGAAAAAAAAA